rnacentral:rRNA from 1 species
GGUACUCGAGUGGCGAACGGGUGAGUAACACGUGGGUGAUCUGCCCCGCACUUCGGGAUAAGCCUGGGAAACUGGGUCUAAUACCGGAUAGGACCACUUCUUGGAGGUUGUGGUGGAAAGUUUUUUCGGUGUGGGAUGAGCUCGCGGCCUAUCAGCUUGUUGGUGGGGUAAUGGCCUACCAAGGCGUCGACGGGUAGCCGGCCUGAGAGGGUGUACGGCCACAUUGGGACUGAGAUACGGCCCAGACUCCUACGGGAGGCAGCAGUGGGGAAUAUUGCACAAUGGGCGCAAGCCUGAUGCAGCGACGCCGCGUGGGGGAUGACGGCCUUCGGGUUGUAAACUCCUUUCGCUAGGGACGAAGCGCAAGUGACGGUACCUAGAGAAGAAGCACCGGCUAACUACGUGCCAGCAGCCGCGGUAAUACGUAGGGUGCGAGCGUUGUCCGGAAUUACUGGGCGUAAAGAGCUCGUAGGUGGUUUGUCGCGUCGUUUGUGUAAGCCCGCAGCUUAACUGCGGGACUGCAGGCGAUACGGGCAUAACUUGAGUGCUGUAGGGGAGACUGGAAUUCCUGGUGUAGCGGUGGAAUGCGCAGAUAUCAGGAGGAACACCGAUGGCGAAGGCAGGUCUCUGGGCAGUAACUGACGCUGAGGAGCGAAAGCAUGGGGAGCGAACAGGAUUAGAUACCCUGGUAGUCCAUGCCGUAAACGGUGGGCGCUAGGUGUGAGUCCCUUCCACGGGGUUCGUGCCGUAGCUAACGCAUUAAGCGCCCCGCCUGGGGAGUACGGCCGCAAGGCUAAAACUCAAAGGAAUUGACGGGGGCCCGCACAAGCGGCGGAGCAUGUGGAUUAAUUCGAUGCAACGCGAAGAACCUUACCUGGGCUUGACAUACACCAGA